rnacentral:rRNA from 1 species
UACGGAGGGGCUAGCGUUGUUCGGAAUUACUGGGCGUAAAGCACACGUAGGCGGCUUUGUAAGUUAGAGGUGAAAGCCCGGGGCUCAACUCCGGAAUUGCCUUUAAGACUGCAUCGCUAGAAUUGUGGAGAGGUGAGUGGAAUUCCGAGUGUAGAGGUGAAAUUCGUAGAUAUUCGGAAGAACACCAGUGGCGAAGGCGACUCACUGGACACAUAUUGACGCUGAGGUGGCGAAAGCGUGGGGAGCAAACACGG